ensembl:lncRNA
CAUAACACCAUUAAAUACAGUUGAGGGUUACUACAAUACAACAUGACAACACAACUACAUAACACCAUUAAAUACAGUUGGAAUGUAGUUAGAACUCAAACUGUUUCCGUCAAACAGAAAAACAACAAUAAAUCUGGAUCAACACAUUUAUAUUUCUAGAUGCUGCACUUUGCUGUUUCAUUACCCAGACAGCUGUUUAAGGUCAUACCAAGGCAGAGUGUAGUAUCAGUACUUAGGGGUCAUAGGUCAUACCAAGGCAGAGUGUAGCAUCAGUACUUAGGGGUCAUAGGUCAGACCAAGGCAGAGUGUAGUAUCAGUACUUAGGGGUCAUAGGUCAGAUCAGUGGUCAUGGCUGAUAUACAUGGACUAGAAAACAAACUUUAAGACCAUUUUUCUAAGAUUCACUGUUUGUGUAGAUGCUGUUUGUCUCUUUAGGACUGUAGUUCAGGUGGCUGUUUGUCUUUGUAGGACAGUAGUUCAGGUGGCUGUUUGUGUAGAUGCUGUUUGUCUCUUUAGGACUGUAGUUCAGGUGGCUGUUUGUCUUUGUAGGACAGUAGUUCAGGUGGCUGUUUGUGUAGAUGCUGUUUGUCUUUGUAGGACAGUAGUUCAGGUGGCUGUUUGUCUCUUUAGGACUGUAGUUCAGGUGGCUGUUUGUCUUUGUAGGACAGUAGUUCAGGUGGUUGUUUGUCUUUGUAGGACAGUAGUUCAGGUGGUUGUUUGUGGAGAUGCUGUUUGUCUCUGUAGGACAGUAGUUCAGGUGGCUGUUUGUGGAGAUGCUGUUUGUCUUUGUAGGACAGUAGUUCAGGUGGCUGUUUGUGUAGAUGCUGUUUGUCUCUGUAGGACAGUAGUUCAGGUGGCUGUUUGUGUAGAUGCUGUUUGUCUUUGUAGGACAGUAGUUCAGGUGGCUGUUUGUCUUUGUAGGACAGUAGUUCAGGUGGCUGUUUGUCUUUGUAGGACAGUAGUUCAGGUGGCUGUU